rnacentral:rRNA from 1 species
UGGGUAACCCACCCCGAUGACCGGGACAACCCGAGGAAACUCGGGCUAAUACCGGAUGAGUUCCUUUCCCUCAGGGGAAGGAGGAAAGAUAGCUUCGGCCUUCGCAUCGGGACGGGCCCGCGGCGCAUUAGCUUGUUGGUGGGGUAACGGCCUACCAAGGUGACGAUGCGUAGCUGGUCUGAGAGGACGAUCAGCCACACUGGGACUGAGACACGGCCCAGACUCCUACGGGAGGCAG